AUAAUGCGUCUCUUGGCAACUAAAUCGUGUGACAAUAAACGAAUGCUGUGGAAAGAAAAACUACUGUUAAUUAUGUUAGAUAGUUUGGUCUUUGAAGUAUUUUGUCAGCGAAAUUUUGUACAAUAAACGUAUUGUGAAAUCGUAAAACAAAAUGAAGAUUUUCUUUUUCUUGGCACUGUUUAUGGUGAUUGCCACACAACAUGUUGAUGCUGAAUGCAGGGAUAACCUUGGCGAUCCCAUCGCCGAAGGUGAUUAUGCACCUGCUUUAGGUGACCUUUGUUACCAAUGUUCCGGUGACAUGAAGCGACUGACAAGCUGCCCAGAAGGAUUUGUCGCCAAAAAGUAAUGCAUACGAUGGUCACGUUUUCUUUGAGAGAAUUAUAAACUUUUUUGUUGCA